GACGAACGCUGGCGGCGUGCUUAACACAUGCAAGUCGAACGGUAAGGCCCUUCGGGGUACACGAGUGGCGAACGGGUGAGUGACACGUGGGUGAUCUGCCCUGCACUUCGGGAUAAGCCUGGGAAACUGGGUCUAAUACCGGAUAGGACCACUGCCUGCAUGGGUGGUGGUGGAAAGCUUUUGCGGUGUGGGAUGGGCCCGCGGCCUAUCAGCUUGUUGGUGGGGUGAUGGCCUACCAAGGCGACGACGGGUAGCCGGCCUGAGAGGGUGACCGGCCACACUGGGACUGAGAUACGGCCCAGACGCCUACGGGAGGCAGCAGUGGGGAAUAUUGCACAAUGGGCGCAAGCCUGAUGCAGCGACGCCGCGUGAGGGAUGACGGCCUUCGGGUUGUAAACCUCUUUCAGCACCGACGAAGCGCAAGUGACGGUAGGUGCAGAAGAAGGACCGGCCAACUACGUGCCAGCAGCCGCGGUAA
rnacentral:rRNA from 1 species